AUACGUAGGGGGCGAGCGUUGUCCGGAAUGAUUGGGCGUAAAGGGCGCGUAGGCGGCCGCUUAAGUCUGGAGUGAAAGUCCUGUUUUCAAGAUGGGAAUUGCUUUGGAUACUGGGGGGCUUGAGUGCAGUAGAGGCAAGCGGAAUUCCCGGUGUAGCGGUGAAAUGCGCAGAGAUCGGGAGGAACACCAGUGGCGAAGGCGGCUUGCUGGGCUGUUACUGACGCUGAGGCACGAAAGCAUGGGUAGCAAACAGGAUUAGAUACCCUGGUAGUCCAUGCUGUAAACGAUGAUUACUAGGUGUGGGUGGACUGACCCCAUCCGUACCGGAGUUAACACAUUAAGUAAUCCACCUGGGGAGUACGGCCGCAAGGUUGAAACUCAAAGGAAUUGACGGGG
rnacentral:rRNA from 1 species